rnacentral:misc_RNA from 1 species
UUCUCCUAUCGUGAAUCUACAUGUGGAUGAUAAGAAUGUUAGUGCGGAGGCAAUUGCAAUGGCUUUGGCUUAUCUUUACGGGCAUCACCCUAAGCUUAAUGAUAACAACGCAUUUCGUGUGUUGGCUGCUGCUUCCUUUCUUGACCUUCAGGAUUUAUGUGCUAUAUGCACGGACUUCAUUAUAUCUGAACUGUGGACUUCUAACUUCUUGGCAUAUCAGGUAUUUGCGGAGAGCCAAGACUACGGCAUACACGGAGAGCGUGUGAGAAAUGCUUGCUGGGGCUACCUUUGUCAAAGUGGUGCCAUGGAAUUGAAAGAGGUGCUUCCAAAACUUUCUUCCCAAACUCUGCAUGCAUUACUGACCUCAGAUGAAUUAUGGGUACCUAGUGAAGAGAAACGGUUUGAGCUGGCAUUAUACACACUUCUUGCAAAAGGUGCUUUUUGCAAGACAGAGCAUUCUGAGCAAGGCAAUUCUAGUUCUGAGAUUGGCGUGGG